ACGAUUCGGCCACCUCCGGCCACCGUGGGCCACCGCUCGGCCUCGCCAAGCCACCACCCGCUCUCCCGACCUCUUGCCGCCCCCAACCCUCUCUCUUUCUUGCUGUUUUGCGGCCGAACCAGCAAACCCACGGAGUGGGUAUCCAGCUGUUCGUGGGCCGUUUUGGGCCGUUUCCGGACCCCGAACCCGAGGCCCGCUUUGGGAAGAAGUGUUCCUCGCGUCGCCGCCGUCGGAUUGAUCCGAUUUGCGCGCGAUUUGGUGAGUAAUCUCACUAAUCUUUGAUUAGUUGGCUAAUUAUGCUUAAGGUUGGUUUAGUUUUAAUUAAUUAUGUUUAGGUUGUUAGAUUAGAAUAAAUUAGCAAUUAUUAGUCAAUUGUGAUGUGAUUUAGAUAAAUUGAUUGUGCAAUUAACAAGUAGACGUGGUCUACUAUUUAUUGGAAGUAUCUCGGGAAUUUUCCGACCCCUAAUUGGGCUUCAAUUUGGCAAUUCGGGCCUAAGUGAGAUUUUUGGGCAUUUAAAUAUUAAUUUUCGGAAUUAAAUUAAAUAAUUAUUUAUUUUCCGAAAAUUCAAGGGAGAUGGUUUGUGACCGGAAAAUUAUGCUGGUGACGGUGGUGAAGUCCGUUUAUUUAAUUGGGCUUUAAAUUGAGUUAAAUCGAAUUUUUAAUACUAAUUAUUUAAUUUUCGAAAUUUAUUAAUUAAUUAAUUAUUUUCCGAAAAUUCAACUGAGAUGGCCCGUGAUCGGAAAAUUAUGCUGAUGACCGUGGUGAAGUCCGUUUAUUUAAUUGGGCCUUAUUUUGAGCUAAACGGAAUUUUUUAAUGUUUAAUAAUUAAUUUUCGAAAUUAAUUAAUAAUUAAUUAUUUUUCGGAAAUUAAGAUUGAGAUGGCCGACGACUGAAAUCUCGUGCUGAUUGUAGUGGUGCAGUCUGUUUAUUUAUUUGAGCUUUGAAUUGUGCCAAAUUAAAUUGAAUCUUGCAGUGGUCGAGUGGGACCGUAAAGCCAUAGAAUCUUGCAAGUGGUCGAGUGGGACAGUAUAGCCACUGAAUCUCGAAAGUGGUCGAGUGGGACCGUAAAGCCAUUGAAUCUUGAAAGUGGUCGAGUGGGACCGUAAAGCCAUUGAAUCUUGAAAGUGGUCGAGUGGGACCGUAAAGCCAUUGAAUCUUGAAAGUGGUCGAGUGGGACCGUAAAGCCAUUGAAUCUUGCAAGUGGUCGAGUGGGACCGUAAAGCCAUUGAAUCUUGAAAGUGGUCGAGUGGGACCGUAAAGCCAUUGAAUCUUGCAAGUGGUCGAGUGGGACCGUAAAGCCAUUGAAUUUCGAAAGUGGUCGAGUGGGACCGUAAAGCCAUUAAAUAUUGAAUGUUGUCGAGUGGUGGACUGUGUCUUCCACCUUUGCUUAAGAUGUGAUCUGAGGACCGUAGUUCGUAAUUGAUGAUUGAGAUGGAAUAAUCGAAUUUACCUAGAAUGGUCCGUCUGACAUGUAAUCGACGAGGUCGAUUGAUCAUUGCUUUGAUUUGAUGUCGUGGAUUGAUUGACUGAUUAAAAAUGACCAUGAGCGGUCUUGUUGGCUUGUAAUCGACUGGGUCGAUUAGAUCGAUGCUUCGAUCGGUGAUAUGAUUGUUUGAGUGUCUAUUAUGAAUUGUACUGACUUGCAGGUGGGAUCUGAUGCUAAGGUACGUCCUCUGCCCUGUGCGUGUUUAGGCAGCCUAUAGUAUAGUGGUUUACUAAUUGGGCUUAGUGGGGUAGAACUCGCUGAGACGUAGUCUCAUCCCAGUUUGGGGAAAAACAUUUCAGGACCCGAUAAGGAGCUGAGGAGGAGAAGUCUGGGAAGGAGAUCUUGGAGGUGAAACUUGAAGGGAAGGAUUUUGAAAGAAGAAGAUAAUACCGAGAUGGGCCUUGAGGAUGGCAUGGAUGGAUUGAGAUCCUAUCUUCUUUUGAGAUCUCCAUUUUGAUGUGAAUAGUUUUGAAGUGGUUUUUGUUUUGUAUAAAAGUUUGGUUAUAAAUUUCAAUAUGAAAAAUAUGGCCCUGCUUUUCUAUCCCAUCGUUUUAUUGUCUGGAGAUUUUAACUGCUUCCGCAUGUGCUUAAUAAACUAAAGGGUCGGCGAUACUUGUCCUGGGAUAUCGCAUUAUAAAAUCGACCAAAUGAGAAGGAUGUGUGCGUGCCCGAGGAUCGGGGCGUGACACUUAGGAUGCGAAUGAUAACUAUUCUAGCUAAAAAUUGAUCUCUAGAAGAGAAAUAGAUUUUUUCAUUUCUAUUAUUGAAUGAGUUUUAAAUACAAAUAUUCAUUUGGUAACGACACAAAAUUUUUCCCUCUUAGGCUACCGACGUCAACAACUGGCAACGGUAGGGGCAACCGGUGGCAUUAGUGGCGGCGAACCGGUGAGGUCGACGAUCAACGACGGUUGGGGAGUGGUAGUGGCGAAUGGCAAACAGCAGCUGAUGGCGAUAGAUGGCCAGCAAGCGAUCAACGACUGGUGUCGGUAGUAACAGUAGCGUUGGCAGGCAGCGACUGCAGUUGGGGAGUGGCGAUGGCAGACAGUGGACGGCAACCAGUGGCAACAGAUGGGCGGCUAGCGACUAGCCACUGGCGCUGGUAGCAACGAUAGUUGUUGGGGAGUGGCGAUGGCGAGCGAACGAUUGGCGGUGAUGUAUGGGCAACUAGCUAAUAAGGAG
rnacentral:lncRNA from 1 species